GAUGAACGCUGGCGGUGUGGAUAAGGCAUGCAAGUCGAGCGGGAUAAUUUGCGUAGCAAUACGUAGAUUAUUCAGCGGCGAACGGGUUCGUAACACGUAGAAACAUCCCUCAUUCUCGGGCAUAGUCCAUCGAAAGAUGGGGUAAUUCCCGAUGGUCCUGUGAAGGUAAAGUCGUAAGACGGAAUGAGAUUGGUCUGCGUCCUAUCAGCUUGUUGGUGAGGUAAAGGCUUACCAAGGCUAUGACGGGUAGGGGUGUGAGAGCACGACCCCAACACUGGAACUGCGACACGGUCCAGACUCCUACGGGAGGCAGCAGCCGAGAAUCUUGGUCAAUGGGCGAAAGCCUGAACCAGCGACACCGCGUAUGGGAUGACGGUCUUCGGAUUGUAAACCAUUUUUAUAGGGGAGCAAAUUAAUGAGAGUACCCUAAGAAUAAGAGGUUG
rnacentral:rRNA from 1 species